rnacentral:rRNA from 1 species
AUGAUGAUGACGCGGGCAUCGAUGGGCGCCAUGGAUGGGGCCGCGUUGGAUGAGGUGGUUCGGCGGCUCGUCGAAGUGGGCCGUGGCGGGCGCCAGGUCCAGCUGUCGGAGGCGGAGAUCCGCCAGCUCUGCGUCGAGGCCAAAACGGUGCUCCUCUCGCAGCCCAACCUCCUGCGCAUUCCCGCGCCCGUCAAGAUCUGCGGUGAUAUCCAUGGUCAGUUUGUUGAUCUUCUGAGGCUGUUCGAUUUGGGUGGCUAUCCUCCAACUUCGACUUAUCUUUUCCUUGGAGACUACGUGGAUAGAGGCAAACAAAGCUUGGAAACCAUAUGUCUGCUUCUGGCGUAUAAAGUGAAGUACCCUGAUAAGGUUUUCCUGUUGAGAGGAAACCAUGAAGAUGCAAAAAUUAACAGAGUUUAUGGUUUCUAUGAUGAAUGCAAGAGGAGAUUCAAUGUUCGUCUGUGGAAGAUAUUCUGUGAUUGCUUCAACUGCUUGCCUAUGGCAGCGCUUAUUGAUGAUAAGAUAUUCUGUAUGCAUGGUGGCCUCUCACCUGAAUUGAAUAGCUUAGAUCAAAUUAAGGAUAUUGAGAGGCCUGUUGAAAUUCCUGACUAUGGUCUUCUAUGUGAUUUGCUUUGGUCUGAUCCUAGUUCUGACACACAAGGGUGGGGGGAGAGUGACAGAGGUGUUGCUUGUACUUUCGGUGCGGAUAAGCUUGUAGAAUUUUUGGAGAAGAAUGAUCUUGACCUCAUUUGCCGAGCUCACCAGGUGGUAGAGGAUGGCUAUGAGUUCUUUGCAGAAAGGAGAUUAGUCACCAUCUUUUCAGCUCCAAACUACUGUGGAGAAUUUGAUAAUGCGGGUGCUUUGUUAAGCAUAGAUGAAAGCUUAAUGUGUUCUUUCCAGAUCUUGAAGCCAAAAGAAACAGGAGCACCACAUUCAAGAAAACCAAUUUCAAACAAGGCACCGACAGUGGACAAUGCUUAA